UUCAGUAGCACGCUCAAGACCCGAAGCGGAGUGAUCUAGCCAUGGGCAGGUUGAAGCGGAGGUAAGACUUCGUGGAGGACCGAACCCACCAGGGUUGAAAACCUGGGGGAUGACCUGUGGUUAGGGGUGAAAGGCCAAUCAAACUCCGUGAUAGCUGGUUCUCCCCGAAAUGCAUUUAGGUGCAGCGUCGUGUGUUUCUUGCCGGAGGUAGAGCACUGGAUAGGCGAUGGGCCCUACCGGGUUACUGACCUUAGCCAAACUCCGAAUGCCGGUAAGUGAGAGCGCGGCAGUGAGACUGUGGGGGAUAAGCUCCAUGGUCGAGAGGGAAACAGCCCAGAGCAUCGACUAAGGCCCCUAAGCGUACGCUAAGUGGGAAAGGAUGUGGAGUCGCAGAGACAACCAGGAGGUUGGCUUAGAAGCAGCCACCCUUGAAAGAGUGCGUAAUAGCUCACUGGUCUAGUGAUUCCGCGCCGACAAUGUAGCGGGGCUCAAGCGUACCGCCGAAGUCGUGUCAUUCCAGCGUAUAGGGCCAACGCCUGCUGGGAUGGGUAGGGGAGCGUCGUGUGCCGGGUGAAGCCGCGCCGGAAGGCAGUGGUGGACGGUUCACGAGUGAGAAUGCAGGCAUGAGUAGCGAUACAAACGUGAGAAACGUUUGCGCCGAUUGACCAAGGGUUCCUGGGUCAAGCUGAUCUGCCCAGGGUAAGUCGGGACCUAAGGCGAGGCCGACAGGCGUAGUCGAUGGAUAACCGGUUGAUAUUCCGGUACCCGCUGUGAAGCGUCAAACAUCGAACCAGGCGAUGCUAAGUCCGUGAAGCCGCCCCGGAGCCUUCGGGCAAAGGGGAGUGGUGGAGCCGACGAACCAGACUUGCAGUAGGUGAGUGAUGGGGUGACGCAGGAAGGUAGUCCAUCCCGGGCGGUGGUUGUCCCGGGGUAAGGGUGUAGGCCGUGAUCUAGGUAAAUCCGGAUCACACAAGGCUGAGACCUGAUGCCGAGCCGAUUGUGGUGAAGUGGAUGAUCCUAUGCUGUCGAGAAAAGCCUCUAGCGAGUUUCAUGGCGGCCCGUACCCUAAACCGACUCAGGUGGUCAGGUAGAGAAUACCGAGGCGUUCGGGUGAACUAUGGUUAAGGAACUCGGCAAAAUGCCCCCGUAACUUCGGGAGAAGGGGGGCCAUCACCGGUGAUAGCACUUGCUGCUUGAGCUGGGGGUGGCCGCAGAGACCAGCGAGAAGCGACUGUUUACUAAAAACACAGGUCCGUGCGAAGCCGUAAGGCGAUGUAUACGGACUGACGCCUGCCCGGUGCUGGAACGUUAAGGGGACCGGUUAGUCACUCUUCGGGGUGGCGAAGCUGAGAACUUAAGCGCCAGUAAACGGCGGUGGUAACUAUAACCAUCCUAAGGUAGCGAAAUUCCUUGUCGGGUAAGUUCCGACCUGCACGAAUGGCGUAACGACUUCUCGACUGUCUCAACCAUAGGCCCGGUGAAAUUGCACUACGAGUAAAGAUGCUCGUUUCGCGCAGCAGGACGGAAAGACCCCGGGACCUUUACUACAGUUUGAUAUUGGUGUUCGGUUCGGCUUGUGUAGGAUAGCUGGGAGACUGUGAAGCUCGGACGCCAGUUCGGGUGGAGUCGUCGUUGAAAUACCAGUCUGGUCGUGCUGGAUGUCUAACCUGGGUCCGUGAUCCGGAUCAGGGACAGUGUCUGAUGGGUAGUUUAACUGGGGCGGUUGCCUCCCAAAGGGUAACGGAGGCGCCCAAAGGUUCCCUCAGCCUGGUUGGCAAUCAGGUGGUGAGUGUAAGUGCACAAGGGAGCUUGACUGUGAGACCGACGGGUCGAGCAGGGACGAAAGUCGGGACUAGUGAUCCGGCGGUGGCUUGUGGAAGCGCCGUCGCUCAACGGAUAAAAGGUACCCCGGGGAUAACAGGCUGAUCUUCCCCAAGAGUCCAUAUCGACGGGAUGGUUUGGCACCUCGAUGUCGGCUCGUCGCAUCCUGGGGCUGGAGUCGGUCCCAAGGGUUGGGCUGUUCGCCCAUUAAAGCGGUACGCGAGCUGGGUUUAGAACGUCGUGAGACAGUUCGGUCCCUAUCCGCUGCGCGCGCAGGAAUAUUGAGAAGGGCUGUCCCUAGUACGAGAGGACCGGGACGGACGAACCUCUGGUGUGCCAGUUGUUCUGCCAAGGGCAUGGCUGGUUGGCUACGUUCGGGAGGGAUAACCGCUGAAAGCAUCUAAGCGGGAAGCCUGCUUCGAGAUGAGUAUUCCCACCCACUUGAUGGGGUAAGGCUCCCAGUAGACGACUGGGUUGAUAGGCCAGAUAUGGAAGCCCAGUAAUGGGUGGAGUUGACUGGUACUAAUAGGCCGAGGGCUUGUCCUC
rnacentral:rRNA from 1 species